UUAUGUUCUGCGUUAGGGAUAGCAGUGGAAAGCCCACAGCGAGGCACGAGCGAGAACUUGUAACGGAUAGCCCGACCCUCG
rnacentral:misc_RNA from 1 species